rnacentral:rRNA from 1 species
UGGGGAAUUUUGGACAAUGGGGGAAACCCUGAUCCAGCCAUCCCGCGUGUGCGAUGAAGGCCUUCGGGUUGUAAAGCACUUUUGGCAGGAAAGAAACGUCAUGGGUUAAUACCCCGUGAAACUGACGGUACCUGCAGAAUAAGCACCGGCUAACUACGUGCCAGCAGCCGCGGUAAUACGUAGGGUGCAAGCGUUAAUCGGAAUUACUGGGCGUAAAGCGUGCGCAGGCGGUUCGGAAAGAAAGUUGUGAAAUCCCAGAGCUCAACUUUGGAACUGCAUUUUUAACUACCGGGCUAGAGUGUGUCAGAGGGAGGUGGAAUUCCGCGUGUAGCAGUGAAAUGCGUAGAUAUGCGGAGGAACACCGAUGGCGAAGGCAGCCUCCUGGGAUAACACUGACGCUCAUGCACGAAAGCGUGGGGAGCAAACAGG